GCAAGAUCACCGAUGAGUACACCGGUGCCGGUGCACUUGGGAGCGUAUGUCAGGUGAUCGGGGCUGUUGUGGAUGUUCGGUUCGAUGAAGGGCUACCGCCGAUUUUGACGGCUUUAGAGGUGUUGGAUCAUGAUAUUAGGGUGGUACUUGAAGUUGCUCAACAUAUGGGAGAAAAUAUGGUUAGGACUAUUGCAAUGGAUGGAACUGAAGGGCUUGUGCGUGGUCAAAGAGUCCUCAAUACUGGCUCCCCUAUUAAAGUGCCAGUUGGCAGGGCUACACUUGGUCGUAUUAUAAAUGUCAUUGGAGAG
rnacentral:misc_RNA from 1 species